GAUGAACGCUGGCGGCGUGCCUAAUACAUGCAAGUCGAGCGAACAGACGAGGAGCUUGCUCCUCUGACGUUAGCGGCGGACGGGUGAGUAACACGUGGAUAACCUACCUAUAAGACUGGUAAACUUAGGGAAACCGGGGUUAAAACCGGGAAAAAUUCUUGAUCCCAGGGGUGAAUUGGUAAAGACCGGUUUUCUGGCAUCUACUGGCGGAUUCGCGGCGCAUUUGCUAGUUGGUUAGGUAACGGCUUAUCAAGGCGACGAGGGGUAGCCGAACUGAGAGGGUGAUCGGCCACACUGGAACUGAGACACGGUCCAGACUCCUACGGGAGGCAGCAGUAGGGAAUCUUCCGCAAUGGUCGAAAGCCUGACGGAGCAACGCCGCGUGAGUGAUGAAGGUCUUCGGAUCGUAAAACUCUGUUAUUAGGGAAGAACAAAUGUGUAAGUAACUAUGCACGUCUUGACGGUACCUAAUCAGAAAGCCACGGCUAACUACGUG
rnacentral:rRNA from 1 species